GGCCAAAACUAAAGGGUGUAUAGGUCAUGGAAAUUUUCCUGACUUAGUUCAAGAUGGCAUCUUACAGUCUGAACAUCUUUAUCUAUUUAGGGUUACCACAGUAUAUUGUGUACUGAAAGAGUCGUAGUAUAGUGUUGAAGCUUGUUUAUGCAUUAUUGUUCUUGUAAUUCGUCUGGGACAGAAUGGCGUAAACAUAUUAUGCACUGAAGGUAGGUAAGAGGUUAUUGCUUAAAGAAA